CGAAUGAACUAGCCCCGAAAAUGGAUGGCGCUCAAGCGUGCGACCGAUACUCGACCAUUGUAGCGAGAGUGAGGCUACAAUGAGUAGGAGGGCGUGAGCGUUGUUGCGAAGCCUCUGGCGUGAGCCUGGGUUGAACAGCGCUUAGUGCAGAUCUUGGUGGUAGUAGCAAUUAUUCAAAUGAGAACUUUGAAGGCCGAAGUGGAGAAGGUUUCCGUGAGAACAGCAAUUGGUCACGGGUGACUCGAUCCUAAGACAUGGGGGAAAUCCUUGUCAAGUGCGCCGUAUGGCGCGUGGUCGAAAGGGAAUGAGGUUAAUAUUCCUCAAGCUGGAUGUGGGUGUUGUAUGGCAACAUAAGUGAGCUCAGAGACGCCAGCGUGAGCCUCUGGAAGAGUUAUCUUUUCUUUUUAACAGAUUAGCGACCUUGAAAUUGGAUUACCCAGAGCUAAGGUUGUAUGUCUGGAAGAGCACUUUGCUUUUCGAAGUGUCAGGUGCGCUCACGAUGGUCCAUGAAAAUCUGAGUGAAAUAAUUUCACACCAGGUCGUACCCAUAACCGC
rnacentral:rRNA from 1 species